ACAACGCACACUCCUGAAUAUCUGGAACCUGGUGUCCAAUAUAAUACUCACCCUGAACCCCGCCCCCCACAUUUUGAUCGACAUAGGGACCUUGCUGAUGACAUGUCUAGAAACAUUAAAGUAGAUGCUCCCGAAUUUGAUGGCCGUCUAGACCCCGAAGCCUUUUUAGAUUAGCUGGACUCCAUCGAAGAAUACUUCGAUUGGUAUCACAUGCCAGAUUAUCAGCGGCUUCGCUUCGCCAAAAUGAAACUCACCAAAUUUGCUAAACCCUAUUGGCAAAACUUGACACGAAACCUCGAACAUUUAGGACAAUCUAUCACCCUACGGGCGAAAAUGAAAACAAAACUGAAAGAAAAGUAUGUCCCACCAUUCCAUCGAUCUCAGAUUCUAGAGCGUUUGCUUAACCAUAGACAAAACUCCUCGACCGUGUCUGACUAUAGAUCUCGUUUUGAUGAGUUGCUCCAUCGUUCCAGUCUUUAUGAACCCGAGAAUGUCACUGUUACUCGAUUUCUUACUGGCCUAAGCCCCGACCUCAAACACCACGUCACCGUGCCCAGUCCCUUUUCCCUAGAGGACGCCUAUCACAAAGCCCUCGAGUAUGAGAGGUACUCUCGAGCACCAUACACUCGAAGGGGCCUUUCGAACUUUGUGGACCCUCGCCAACCCCGUCCUAACCCAUCCUCCACUCCUGGUAGUAUUCCAGCAUCAACCCAAUCUUGCAAAGUUGUCGGGUCUUCGUCAUCAUCACCUUCACUUUCCCAGGAUAUCAAUAAGAAUCAACCUUCUUCUUUUGCUUCUUCCCGUAUCGCUAACCCGUCAAUCGUGUGUCAUCAUUGUCAGAAUCGAGGUCAUAUAGCAUCUCGAUGCCCUCAUCGUACCCUUACUGUUAAUCAAGAACCACUACUUCCAACAUCGGAAAUCGAUGAAUGUUUUACAGUCGAUCCUAUUGACCAUUCUGAUGAGGACCUCAAACAACUUGAGUGUCACGUGGAGGAUGAGGUUGUUGUCUCGAUCAUGAGAUGCAUCCUCUCCACCCCUGUUGACUCUGAUUCUUGGAAAAGGACAUCAAUAUUCCACACGUACAUACUGUGUAACUCUCGUUCUUGCAAAUUAGUAAUUGACGGGGGUAGUACCAUGAACGUCGUUUCCACCUCAGCGGUAACCAAAUUCGGCUUCAAGCCCGAACCCCACCCUCGCCCUUUUAAGGUGGCAUGGGUCGAUAGGACUUCUUUGCCUGUCACUCAUCGUUGUCUUGUAUCCCUUACAUUUGGCCCAUACUCAGAAGACCUUUACUGUGACAUUCUACCUAUGGAUGUUGCUCACGUCCUUUUGGGUCGCCUUUAGCUCUACGAUCAUGAUGUUAAGCACUUCGGGCGUGAUAACACUUAUGAGUUUGUCCAUAAUGGCAAACCCAUUCGGCUUCUUUCAGCCAAACCAUUUGACCCCCCAAAGAGACCACCGCCUAAAACAACACCCACUUGUGCUACAAGUACAAAGAACCGAAUUCAGGUCUUGUUCCAUAAGGCCUUUGAGCUUGAGGUGCACGACACCGGGUUGAUGUUUGCGUUAGUUACCAAAGCAUGUUCCCAACCUACUACUGAAGCAAACUCUGAUCGCCUCCUUGUUACCACUCCAUUGUUAGAGGAGUUUAGCGAUGUCAUGCCAGAUGACCUACCUGAUGAACUCCCUCCCAUUCGUGAUAUUCAACAUGCACUCGACUUGGUCCCGAGAUCACAAUUACCAAAUCGCCCUCACUAUAAGAUGAAUCCUGCGGAAUGGGUCGAGCUAAAUAAACAGGUUGAGGCAUUACUAUCUAAAGGUUUUAUUCGUCAUAGCCUUAGUCCUUGUGUAGUCCCCGUCCUACUUACUCCCAAAAAAGACGGAUCUUGGCGUAUGUGUGUCGAUAGUCAUGCCAUUAACAAAAUUACUAUAAAAUAUCGAUUUCCCAUACGAUGACAUGCUGGAUGAGUUAGUGGGAUCCUUAUGGUUUUCUAAAAUAGAUCUACGAAGUGGAUAUCACCAAAUUAGGAUUAGACCAGGGGAUGAAUGGAAAACAGCCUUUAAGACGCAGGAUGGUUUAAACGAGUGGCUAGUUAUGCCUUUCGGGAUGUCUAAUGCGUCUAGCACUUUUAUGAGGGUGAUGACUCACGUCUUCCGACCUUUCAUUGGAAAAUUUCUCGUGGUCUAUUUUGAUGAUAUAUUGAUUUACAAUAAGUCGCGAGAGGACCACUUAGAUCACCUUAGACAAGUCUUUCUUACACUUCGUUCUAACAAACUGUAUGCUAGCCUUAAGAAGUGUUCCUUUCUACAAUCACAAGUCUUAUUCUUAGGUUUCAUUAUCUCUGCCCAGGGAAUUUCGGCUGAUCCAGCUAAAAUCUCUGUAAUUCGUGAUUGGCCAGAACCUACAACUUUGACUGAGGCCCGUAGCUUUCAUGGAUUAGCCUCGUUCUACAGACGAUUCAUUCAAGGUUUUAGUUCUAUCACUGCCCCUAUUACUGAAUGUAUGAAAAAAGGGGAUUUCCAUUGGACACCAUCCGCAAAAAAAGCCUUCAUCACAAUUAAGCAAAAGUUGAUUGAAGCUCCCGUUUUACGCCACCCUGAUC
rnacentral:lncRNA from 1 species